GACGAACGCUGGCGGCGUGCCUAAUACAUGCAAGUAGAACGCUGAAGAGAGGAGCUUGCUCUUCUUGGAUGAGUUGCGAACGGGUGAGUAACGCGUAGGUAACCUGCCUUGUAGCGGGGGAUAACUAUUGGAAACGAUAGCUAAUACCGCAUAACAAUGGAUGACACAUGUCAUUUAUUUGAAAGGGGCAAUUGCUCCACUACAAGAUGGACCUGCGUUGUAUUAGCUAGUAGGUGAGGUAACGGCUCACCUAGGCGACGAUACAUAGCCGACCUGAGAGGGUGAUCGGCCACACUGGGACUGAGACACGGCCCAGACUCCUACGGGAGGCAGCAGUAGGGAAUCUUCGGCAAUGGGGGCAACCCUGACCGAGCAACGCCGCGUGAGUGAAGAAGGUUUUCGGAUCGUAAAGCUCUGUUGUAAGUCAAGAACGAGUGUGAGAGUGGAAAGUUCACACUGUGACGGUAGCUUACCAGAAAGGGACGGCUAACUACGUGCCAGCGGCCGCGGUAAUACGUAGGUCCCGAGCGUUGUCCGGAUUUAUUGGGCGUAAAGCGAGCGCAGGCGGUUUGAUAAGUCUGAAGUUAAAGGCUGUGGCUCAACCAUAGUUCGCUUUGGAAACUGUCAAACUUGAGUGCAGAAGGGGAGAGUGGAAUUCCAUGUGUAGCGGUGAAAUGCGUAGAUAUAUGGAGGAACACCGGUGGCGAAAGCGGCUCUCUGGUCUGUAACUGACGCUGAGGCUCGAAAGCGUGGGGAGCGAACAGGAUUAGAUACCCUGGUAGUCCACGCCGUAAACGAUGAGUGCUAGGUGUUGGAUCCUUUCCGGGAUUCAGUGCCGCAGCUAACGCAUUAAGCACUCCGCCUGGGGAGUACGACCGCAAGGUUGAAACUCAAAGGAAUUGACGGGGGCCCGCACAAGCGGUGGAGCAUGUGGUUUAAUUCGAAGCAACGCGAAGAACCUUACCAGGUCUUGACAUCCCGAUGCUAUUUCUAGAGAUAGAAAGUUACUUCGGUACAUCGGUGACAGGUGGUACAUGGUUGUCGUCAGCUCGUGUCGUGAGAUGUUGGGUUAAGUCCCGCAACGAGCGCAACCCCUAUUGUUAGUUGCCAUCAUUCAGUUGGGCACUCUAGCGAGACUGCCGGUAAUAAACCGGAGGAAGGUGGGGAUGACGCCAAAUCAUCAUGCCCCUUAUGACCUGGGCUACACACGUGCUACAAUGGUUGGUACAACGAGUUGCGAGUCGGUGACGGCAAGCUAAUCUCUUAAAGCCAAUCUCAGUUCGGAUUGUAGGCUGCAACUCGCCUACAUGAAGUCGGAAUCGCUAGUAAUCGCGGAUCAGCACGCCGCGGUGAAUACGUUCCCGGGCCU
rnacentral:rRNA from 1 species